rnacentral:lncRNA from 1 species
UGGAGAAAAUAAAGGAAAGUGAAAAGAAAUUGAGAGCAAAACCAAAGUCGCAAGAGAUUUUGAGAGAAAUAAAGUUAUAUCAAGUACAAUACAUGAAAAUGAUGAAUCAGGAGAUAGAAUGGGAAAUUAAACAAAUGAGACAAAAGACAUUUGAGUCGGCUAUUAAAUGUGGGAAAUUGUUGGUUUGGCAAAUGAAAAAAAGACAAAAACCAAAUACUGUCACAAAUUUAGAAGUGGAAGGAAGGAAUAUACAGAACCCAGUUGAGAUUAGAAAUUGUUUCCAGAGGUAUUUUAAACAACUAUAUACACAAGGGCCACAGAAAGAAAUUGAUGUAGACCGAUUUUUGAAAACAAAUGGAUUACAAAAAAUCUCUCAAGAAAAUAAAUUAAUGCUGAACUAUAAAAUAACUGAACAGGAGGUAGAAGGUGCCAUUCAGAAUAUGCAACUAGGUAAAUCUCCAGGACCGGAUGGACUGACUUCUAGAUACUACAGAUCCUUGAAGGAAUGGUUAGUACAACCUUUAAAGGAAGUCUGUAACGAAAUAAUGGGUGGGAAAAGGGCACCAGAGUCGUGGAAAGAAGCGUAUAUUACACUUGUACCGAAAAUAGAGACUGAAAAGACCCAGCUUAAGAACUACCGCCCCAUAUCACUGCUCAAUGUGGAUUACAAAAUCUUUGCAGACAUUUUGGCUAAAAGACUAAAAAGAGUCCUAAUGGAAGAGAUACAUAAAGAUCAAGCAGGCUUUCUCCCGGGUAGACAUUUGUCUGACAAUGUGAGAAACAUAAUCAAUAUUUUAGAAAAACUACAAGUGAAUAUAAAUACCAAGGCAGUUUUGAUAUUUGUGGACGCGGAGAAAGCCUUUGACAAUAUUUCUUGGAGUUUCAUGAAGAAGAACCUACAGGGGAUGGGGGUAGGCCAAGGCUUUGAAAACAGUAUAAGUGCAAUUUAUUCAGAACAAAAGGCUAAAUUAAUUGUAAAUAACGUGGUGACGGAGGAAUUUAAGAUAGAAAAAGGGACACAACAAGGUUGCCCAAUCUCCCCAUUGCUAUUUAUAUCGGUCCUGGAGGUCCUGCUGAAUAUGAUUAGAAGGGACCAAUUGGUUAAAGGUAUACAAGUCGGAGCUAAACAGUACAAAUUGAGAGCAUUUGCAGAUGACUUAGUAUUGACAUUGCAGGAGCCAGAAUCUAGUACUAAAAGGGUUUUGGAACUGAUUCAAGAAUUUGGUCAGGUUGCAGGAUUUAAAUUGAAUAAGUUUAAAAAAAAGGUCUUAGAGAAAAACUUAACUGUGAUUGAGAAAGAGAGGUUUCAGAAUGAGACAGGUUUAACAGUGGUUAAGAAAGUGAAAUACCUGGGGAUUAACAUGACAGCAAAAAAUGGGAAUUUAUUUAAAGACAAUUAUGAAAAAUGCUGGGCUGAAGUGAAAAAAGACUUAGAAAUUUGGUCAAAUUUGAAGCUUUCACUGCUAGGCUGUAUUGCUGCGAUAAAAAUGAAUGUAUUGCCUAGAAUGUUAUUUCUCUUUCAAACAUUGCAAAUUUUGGACAAAAUGGAUUGCUUCAAGAGGUGGCAGAGAGAUAUCUCUAGAUUUGUCUGGCAGGGCAAGAAGCCUAGAAUAAAAUUUAAAACACUAACGGAUGCAAAGGAAAGAGGUGGAUUUGCCCUGCCAGACCUUAAACUUUAUUAUGAAUCAGCAGCUUUUUGCUGGCUGAAAGAAUGGCUGCUUCUUGAAAACACAGACAUUUUGGACUUAGAAGGUUUUAAUAAUGUAUUUGGAUGGCAUGCAUAUUUGUGGUAUGAUAAGGUCAAAGCACAUAAAGCAUUUAAAAAUCAUAUUGUCAGGAAAGCAUUGUUUAAUGUCUGGAUAAGAUAUAAAGACCUACUGGAAAAUAAAACCCCAAGGUGGCUGUCACCGAUGGAAGCGAAAGCUCUGAAAAAGCUCAAUAUGGAGGCCAAAUGGCCGAAAUAUUGGGAAAUUCUGGAACAAGAGGGAGAUAGACUGAAAUUGCAGAGCUUUGAGAAACUAAAAAACAAAGUGCGAGAUUGGCUUCAUUAUUAUCAGAUAAUGGAGGCAUACAAUUUGGAUAAGAAAAUAGGCUUCCAGGUGGAAAAAUCAAAAUUAGAAACAGAACUGUUAGAACCCAAAACUAAGAUUUUGUCAAAGAUGUAUAACUUGCUGUUGAAAUGGAAUAGUCAGGAUGAAACGGUUAAAUCUGCUAUGAUUAAGUGGGCACAAGAUGUUGGACAUAACAUAAUGAUGGCUGACUGGGAACAGUUAUGGACCACAGGUAUGAAGUUUACGGCAUGCAAUGCCCUAAGAGAGAAUAUUAUGAAAAUGAUAUACAGGUGGUACAUGACACCAGUCAAGCUUGCAAAAAUCUAUCACUUGCCCGAUAAUAAAUGCUGGAAAUGUAAAGAGACUGAAGGUACAUUCUUUCACCUUUGGUGGACUUGCCCAAGGAUUAAGGCUUUCUGGGAGAUGAUCUAUAAUGAAAUGAAAAAGGUAUAUAAAUAUACCUUCUUGAAGAAACCAGAGGCUUUUCUCCUGGGCGUGGUCGGCCAAUUGGUGCCAAAGAAGGACAGAAUUUUCUUUAUGUAUGCCACAACAGCAGCAAGAAUACUUAUUGCAAAGUAUUGGAAGACACAAGAUUUACCCACUCUGGAAGAAUGGCAGAUGAAGGUGAUGGACUAUAUGGAACUGGCGGAAAUGACUGGCAGAAUCCGAGACCAGGGAGAAGAGUCGGUGGAAGAAGAUUGGAAGAAAUUUAAAGACUAUUUACAGAAAUAUUGCAAAAUUAAUGAAUGUUAGAAUGAUGCCAGAAUGAAAUUAAGUGGUCUUAGCAGCAAUAUUAUAAAGGUGUAUGUACAAAUGGAUUGUUAACAGAUGAGAAUCUAAAGUUAUAAUAUGUUAAGUUAAAGGAUUAAGACAAAAACUAAGAGGGAAAGGAAUUGCUGAAUUAACUAAUAGAACUGGAAUACAAAAAAGGGAGGUGUGAGGAAGUCAGGGAAGUAAGGAAAUGAAAUGUAAGUUAUGGAAAGAUUGAUGUGUUUUUCUUUUAAGUGUUUUCUGUCUUUUUCCUGUAUUUUGUAUUUUGUAUUUUUUGUAUUUUUUUCUUUUCUUUUUACCUAUGUAAUUUUUUCUUGAAACUUUAAUAAAUAUCAUUUUUUUU